AGCAGUCGCCGCGGUAAUACGUAGGGCGCAAGCGUUACUCGGAAUUACUGGGCGUAAAGCGUGCGUAGGUGGUGGUUUAAGUCCGUUGUGAAAGCCCUGGGCUCAACCUGGGAAUUGCAGUGGAUACUGGGUCACUAGAGUGUGGUAGAGGAUAGUGGAAUUUCCGGUGUAGCAGUGAAAUGCGUAGAGAUCGGAAGGAACAUCUGUGGCGAAGGCGACUAUCUGGGCCAACACUGACACUGAGGCACGAAAGCGUGGGGAGCAAACAGGAUUAGAUACCCCGGUAGUCCCUGUCUCUUAUAC
rnacentral:rRNA from 1 species